rnacentral:lncRNA from 1 species
UUUUUUAGUAGUGUAUUAUUAAUCUUUUUGUAAUCUGACUGUGAAAUUGAGUAUGAGGCUACUAAUUAUAGAUGUUUAGAUCUGAAGAAUGACAUCCAGAAUCAGCCAGCUGGAAUUUGGCCAUAUGAGCCUCAAACUACAGAUACUUUCUGGACCGUGUGUGUGUGUGUGUGUGUGUGUGUGUACAUCCAGAAUUUGUUGUGUUCUGUUGACUGAUUAAAGGAAACUAUUAAUACAUUUAUUCCUGCAGGUAUUCUGUUCCAGCCAAUACACAUAACACAAUGAAUUUUGUACCUAUGACAGUCUGUAAAACUUAAGAGAUCAGAGGGUCUUCGGUGCACCCCAUUUGUCUCACUUUGUCAUUGUUUCAACAGCAGAAUAGAACACGGUGUUCCUGAACACUCAUACUGUAAGCUGGACUGCAGACAAAGACCAUGCAUACACACAGAAAUUAUUAUCUUACAUCAAGGAAACAAAUUCAAAGUUCAGUGAAGGUGAGCUAUGUUUAGUUGUAUGUGUCUUUUGUUGUUGUUGGGGGUGGGGGGUGGUAGGUAUGCAUGAGAGGUGUGUGUUUGUGUGUUCAUAUGUAGUGGUUGCAGUCUGGCAAGUUUUAAAUCACUUUCACAGACUAAACUGCCCAGUUUUCCACAAGCAGGCCUGACUGAAGAAGACGAUCUUGCCAUGUCCACUGAUGUUAACAGGGAGGCCGUAUUCCAGGCGACAAAGGUUCGAACCCAUCUGAAACAAGAUGGAAGCUGGAUCAACAGAUCUAAAAAUGUUGAGGACACACAGUCAGAUGUAAAAGCAAGUAAACCAAUAAAGCAAGGAAAACCUAAAAAUGUUUCAUCACCUGAAAGCAGUUCGGUCUCUUCCUCCGUCAUGCCAUGUGCAGAGAGUACCACCACCUCCUCCAGCCUGGACUCGUCCACACCCCCUCAAAGCUCUUAUGUCGUGUCAGCCUUAAGGAAGUUUGAUGCACAUCCUGUCCUUGAGGACCCCAGGAGAGCACAUGUAGAGAAAGCAGUGGAGACAUCCAUAGCCAAAGCCACAGAGCAACCACUGAAGACACCAGCAGAUGCUUCUGUAAAGGACAUAGUGGAAAAACCAAUCGCUAUACCUGAAGACGAACCAUUGAAGACACAUGCAGAUGUUUCUGUAAAGGACAUAAUGGAGAAACCUACAAAUAAACCUGUAGAGGAACCAAUGAAGAUGCAUGCAGACGCUCCUAAAUUGGAUGUAGUGGAGAAACCUAUAGAGGAACCAUUGAAGACACAUGCAGACACUCCUAAAACAGACAUAGUGGAGAAACCUGUUAAAGAACCAUUGAAUACACAUGCAGACACUCCUAAAAUGUGCGUAGUGGAGAAUAUAAUUAAACCUGUAGAGGAACCAUUGAAGACACCUACAGAUGUUCCUGUAAAGAACAUAGUGGAGAAACCUGCAGAGAGACACACAGAGACUGUAGAGGGAACAAGGAAGACACCUGUAGAUGGAGCUUCAACAAAUCAAACACAAUCCAGUGGAGCGCUGCAGGAGAAAACAGUCAAAACCCUACAUGAGAACCCAGCAAAGCCUUCACUGACUACAGAGAAUAAAGAGGAUGAUACAGUUGAACAAGUCUCAAUAGCACAUGCACCUGUAGUAGAGGCUCUACUCGAACCCAGACAGGUAGAAAACCAGCCUACAAGUGAACAUGGGGAACUUUCACUAGUAUCUGCUCUGGAAACUCCAACUACAGAGUCAUCAACUAGAUCAACUACAGAACCAACCGAAGAACCCCGUGUGGCAGCCCUGGAAGAGAACCACAGACUGAACAGUCAAGCUCAAUUGAAUGUCAGAGGUAAAACCAUGUGUUCCUUCUGCAAGCUGCCCAUAGAUGGAAAUGUGAAAAUCUCCAUCAACAUUCCUGCCAUUUGCUGCCAUCCGGAUUGUUUAAAGUGUAAUGGUUGCAGCAGUCCUCUGGGCGAUCUCUCUUCAUCUAUGUACCACUAUGCUGGGAAAAUCCUCUGCGAGAAAUGCUUUGAUCGAAUCUUCCAGCUCUGAUGACUCAUCCUACUGCAACCUACUCCACUACAACUCAUCACCAUAACACCCAAGCACAUCUCAGUGUCUACCAGCAAGUUUCCUGUAAUUAAGCAACUAAAUUAAAAAAAAAAAAAAAAAUUAAAAAAAAAAAAAAAAAUUCAGUCUUUAUCAGUAGAGGAUCUGCUGUCUUAAGUUUAUUGCACAUAAAUUCAACAACUAUUUUUCAGUAAAUGGUCAUGCUGUGUGUGCAUGUCUUCCUAUAUACUAACAAAAUUCCCCAUGAGGUUUAAUAGGUUUUAAUUAUUUCUCUUUCUGAUCAAUAUAUUCCUUGUUUUCUUCUAACAAGUCACUGUUUCUAAUGUAAAAUAAGCUUAAAGAAGAAGAUUGCUUCCAGAAUGAAAAUUUCCUGAUAAUUUACUUAUCCCUAUGUCAUCCAAGAUGUUCACUUCUUUCUUUCAUCAGUCGAAAAUAAAUUAAGAUUUUUAAGUGAAAAAAUUCCAGGAUUUUUCUCCAUAUAGGCUAGUGGACUACAAUGGGGAUCAACGUGUUGAAGGUCCAAAUAGCAGUUGAAUCCCAUCUGAAGAAAAGUAUAUCUAGUAAAAUGAUCAGUGAAGAAAAAUAAAAAAUUUACAUACUUUUAACCACAAAUGCUCAUCUUGCACUAGCUCGACCUCACGCAUUACAUAAUCACGCAUGUGUGAUGUAGGCGGAAGUAGUGACGCAGUGUUUACAAAGCGAACGUGCAAAGAAAGUCUUUAACAACUUUAAUAAAAAAAGGUUACAAAAAACGGAUAGUUAGUAUGUAUUUUGAAGUUUAGAGGAGAAAUGAG